rnacentral:rRNA from 1 species
AUUGAACGCUGGCGGCAUGCCUUACACAUGCAAGUCGAACGGCAGCACGGGAGCAAUCCUGGUGGCGAGUGGCGAACGGGUGAGUAAUAUAUCGGAACGUGCCCAGUCGUGGGGGAUAACGUAGCGAAAGCUACGCUAAUACCGCAUACGAUCUAUGGAUGAAAGCGGGGGAUCGCAAGACCUCGCGCGAUUGGAGCGGCCGAUAUCAGAUUAGGUAGUUGGUGAGGUAAAGGCUCACCAAGCCGACGAUCUGUAGCUGGUCUGAGAGGACGACCAGCCANACUGGGACUGAGACACGGCCCAGACUCCUACGGAGGCAGCAGUGGGGAAUUUUUGGACAAUGGGCGCAAGCCUGAUCCAGCAAUGCCGCGUGCAGGAUGAAGGCCUCGGUUGUAACGUAG